rnacentral:rRNA from 1 species
UGUCCUACGGGUGGCUGCAGUGGGGAAUAUUGGACAAUGGGCGCAAGCCUGAUCCAGCAAUGCCGCGUGAGUGAUGAAGGCCUUCGGGUCGUAAAGCUCUUUUACCAGGGAUGAUAAUGACAGUACCUGGAGAAUAAGCUCCGGCUAACUCCGUGCCAGCAGCCGAGGUAAUACGGAGGGAGCUAGCGUUGUACGGAAUUACUGGGCGUAAAGCGAGCGUAGGCGGCUACUCAAGUCAGAGGUGAAAGCCCGGGGCUCAACCCCGGAACUGCCUUUGAAACUAGGUGGCUAGAAUCUUGGAGAGGUCAGUGGAAUUCCGAGUGUAGAGGUGAAAUUCGUAGAUAUUCGGAAGAACACCAGUGGCGAAGGCGACUGACUGGACAAGUAUUGACGCUGAGGUGCGAAAGCGUGGGGAGCAAACAGGAUUAGAUACCCCUGUAGUCA